UUUUUGAUAGAUACAAAAAAAAUGAAAAAAAAU
rnacentral:sRNA from 1 species